GAUGAACGCUAGCGGCAGGCUUAACACAUGCAAGUCGAGGGGUAUAGUUCUUCGGAAUUAGAGACCGGCGCACGGGUGCGUAACGCGUAUGCAAUCUACCUUUCACAGAGGGAUAGCCCCAGAGAAAUUUGGAUUAAUACCUCAUAGUAUAGCAGUUUCGCAUGAAACCGACUAUUAAAGUCACAACGGUGAAAGAUGAGCAUGCGUCCCAUUAGCUAGUUGGUAAGGUAACGGCUUACCAAGGGCAACGAUGGGUAGGGGUCCUGAGAGGGAGAGUCCCCCACACUGGUACUCGAGACACGGACCAGACUCCUACGGGAGGCAGCAGUGAGGAAUAUUGGACAAUGGGCGCAAGCCUGAUCCAG
rnacentral:rRNA from 1 species